GGGAGCCUGAGAAACGGCUACCACAUCCAAGGAAGGCAGCAGGCGCGCAAAUUACCCAAUCCCGAUACGGGGAGGUAGUGACAAUAAAUACUGAUACAGGGCUCUUCUGAGUCUUGUAAUUGGAAUGAGUACAAUUUAAAUCCCUUAACGAGGAACAAUUGGAGGGCAAGUCUGGUGCCAGCAGCCGCGGUAAUUCCAGCUCCAAUAGCGUAUANNNAAGUUGUUGCAGUUAAAAAGCUCGUAGUUGAAUUUCGGGGUUAGUAGGUUGGUCAUGCCUCUGGUAUGUACUGAUCUCACUGAUUCCUCCUUCCUUAUGAACCGUAAUGCCAUUAAUUUGGUGUUGCGGGGAAUUUGGACUGUUACUUUGAAAAAAUUAGAGUGUUUAAAGCAGGCUAACGCUUGAAUACAUUAGCAUGGAAUAAUGAAAUAGGACGUUCGAUCUUAUUUUGUUGGUUUCUAGGAUUGACGUAAUGAUUAAUAGGGAUAGUUGGGGGCAUUAGUAUUCAAUUGUCAGAGGUGAAAUUCUUGGAUUUAUUGAAGACUAACUACUGCGAAAGCAUUUGCCAAGGAUGUUUUCAUUAAUCAAGAACGAAAGUUAGGGGAUCGAAGACGAUCAGAUACCGUCGUAGUCUUAACCAUAAACUAUGCCGACUAGGGAUCGGAUGAUGUUAAUUUUUUAAUGACUCAUUCGGCGCCUUACGGGA
rnacentral:rRNA from 1 species